GUCGCACCCCAGCCUGCCCCUCCCCCUUCCUCAGCUUUCUGCCUCCCGACUGGAAGCGCCCCCAGGAGUCAGAGGAGACUCGCUCAGCGUCUGCUCUUGGGGUGAAAUCCAGGGAUUUUCCCAGCAAGAUUUUGCUUCCGAAGCUGUUCUCUGUUCAGGGUACACGGUCUCCCGCAGCCUGGUGUCCCUUACUAGGAGAGUCUCCAGGUGGACCAGGACAAGUAAGCGUGAGAAGGGGACCAAGCACCCAGUGAAGGAUGCUGGGCAGGCAGUACCAUACUCCUUCUGACCAUCCUCAUUUUAUGGGAGCUGAACUUUCACAUUGGUCUGAACGCAAGAUGCCCACUGUGUGACCCGGAUCAGGGAUUGCAUGGCCUGAACAGACUGCCGGUUCCAGCUGUCCCCUCUACAGAUGAGGAAACUGAAUCCCGACUGCCUGGUGGCCCUACUUUCACAAUACAUAUUUCACUCCACCUCCCAGACUUCCCCACCUCUCCUCAGGGGCAUUGAACUUCAGAUGAAACUUCAGUGGAGCUACCCCCUUAGGAAGAACCCAUACCGCGGUGCUGGGAAAGAUUGAAGGCCAGAGGAGAAGGGGACAACAGAGAAUGAGAUGAUUGGAUGACAUCACUGACUCAAUGGAUAUGAGUUUGAAUUCUUUACUCACUGAGCCAUCAGGAAAGCCCAUCUUAUUGGAGUGAAAGUUAAAAAAGCUUGGAACACCUAAGGACGGACCUGAAAAUCAAUUUCCACCAGAGAUGGGGUAGAGGGGAAGGUCAGUAAUGUAUCUAUAAUUCCAUUUACAAAUUUAGUGGGGAAAAAAAAGUCCAGGCCAUAUGAGAUCCAGAGUUUUGCUUUAUUAGACAUCUAUGAAGAAGAGUUUGCAGAUACAAUCAAAUUGUGAACUGCUGCAAAGUUCUGCGAAGUUUUAAUUUAUCCUUUAGUGAACAGACCCCAGUGGCUGAUAUUUUAGAAUACAGUUCCAUAUUCCAAGCAGAUGAGAGAUGUGAUGUUAUGGCCAACAACUUUAUACUAGUCAUCCACUUAAGCUGUUUCCCAGCAUAAAUAUGCAGUUUAAUCACAGCUAUUUCAUCUCUACCAUGUGUGAUUCGAUCUUCGACUAAUAAUGCAUUUUGACUCCUGUUUAUAUUGGUGCAUGCGAUUCUUUGCCACCCUGGCAAUUAACCAGACCUGGACUCUAAAAGCUAAACUUGAUCUAAAUAACAUUCUAGGGGUAGGGCAGGCUCUGUAAUCUGGACUCAUCUUAGCCAUCCGUCUGCAAAAGCACUUGUAUGUCUCCUUUUUCCUAUCGUGUCUGUCUGUAACUUGUCUGUCAUUCACACUUAUUAGUGCCUGCUGUAUACAAUGGAGAUCCUUUGACAGGUCUUCUUCUAAGAAACUUGAACCUCAGAUAAUAUGCCAGGGACAACUGAGUACUGGGUCAAGACAACAGGCCUUUUAGAAACUUUCUAAGAUCAGAAAACGUGCCCCAAGUGUAUCUAUCCAGUGCUCUUACUCUAGAAUAUUUCUGGGGGUGGGGGAAGGAGAGGGGAGGGAUGGAUUUGAGGAUUCUAAGUGUGAUUAUUAGGACUGCAUCUCUGGGGACAUUAGAAAAUCCAGUAAAAUCAUCACCCCCUCUCCAUUAUCUUUUUGCCAACAUCGCAAAUUUCAACCAUUUCCUUGAAGAGAAAUGGUGAACAAGGAGACAUUCUUAACAGAAGGCGGGAAAGGCCUUACAUUAGCCACAAAAAGGACUUGACUCUAUUACUCACACUUAAUCCAGUAGGAAGGCUGAAUUUGUGUACUACCCGAUUCCUUCCUUUGAUUCUGGUGUCCUGAAAACAUCACCAUUUUGCCCUCAGAGUGAUUGCGUUGCCCCAAAAGGAGAGGUUGCCAACCAUGCAGGGCACAUUUUUUGGCAGUUUCUCUGCACAGUCAUGUGGCUUACAGAGCCAGACGGUUCAGCUCUCAAAGACAGGACAGGAGAAUCAAUACAUUAUUAUGCUUCUUUAAAUAUAAACUGUGAACCUUUGGGAAGGAUGUGCAUGUGUAGAAAGCUCUGAUGAAGCUGUCGACCCAUCUGGUCUAUUUCUUAGAGGACUCUGACCCUAGGCACCGCUGUCUAUUGUUGAGUCUACAUACACAGUCCGUAGCUUAGCAUCAGUACAAAUUAAGCACGGUCAAGAAAUGAAGCCAUGGAAAAUUAAAGGCAGCAAUGUCAUCAACAAAAUUCAAUGAGCAUUUUCCCCUUUUUUCUUUUUUAACAAGAAAAGCACAUUGUAGAAAUCAAGAUUCUGUACAAUUUUCUAAUAUUAUAUGUACAUAAAAUUAUAUUAUAACUCAAUUGAAAAGUCUUGUUUGUAGAGUAUGGCUGGCAACACCAAAGAAUGACCCAGAACAUUAAGCUUUUGAAGCAGAGCAGGCAGCAAGAGGACCCUAGCGCGCACACCUUUGUGCCUGAAUGCGAAACCCGGCUCCUAAGGAUGUGACUAGCAUUCUCCAGUUCUCUGCUGUGUUCGUGUUUCACAUUCUAGUAGGGAAUUCUGCAGCAAGCGAUGUGAAAAAGGAGACACGUUAAAAUGAAAUUGGAAAUGCUGUUUAAAAUCUGCAUAUGAUAAUGGGCUGUGAUAAUGGGUUUGUGAAUCCAACUCGACUCGAGUUCAAAGUUAGUGGCUCAACCAUCUUCCCCUCUUUUUAUUAUGCAUGCCUUCGGUGAUUUAAAACUGACUGAACUCCAGCAGGUGGAAAAGACAGCUUUGAACAGAUCAGAAGGGCUGUGAGUCAGGUUCUGGAUUCUUUUCCUGCAGUUGGCUCCUGAAAGUGGAAGACUGGCUUUGCAAGUGGGGAAGGAUGGGGAGCAGGCACACACACCAGUUGGUUCAUCUGCCCCAUUCUUCAGCUGCCUUUCUUCCAAUCUCUUUCCUCCCAGGCCCUGCCAUCCCCAAGCCAGGUGGAGCUCCAGCCCCACUCCCCAGAGGGCAAGGGGUGGGCUCCUGGCCCUUCACUUGUAGAUCCUCUCUCAAGGAACCUAACCAGAGGCUGCAGUCUGUGCCCCAGCUUUCAAAAAACCUAGUUGGGAAUUUUCAGAUUCCAAUUCAGCCACAGUCCCCUCUGGCAUUUACUAAACAAUGCAGAUUCGGAUUCCCUCUCAAGUUCGUAAAAGGGAGAGGAUCCAAGAACCUGUUUUUAAGAAGCCCCCAGGCGGUUCUUGCAGGGGAGAUCCGCAGAUCUGCUUUGGAAAAAAAAAAAA